UACGAAGGGGGCUAGCGUUGCUCGGAAUCACUGGGCGUAAAGCGCACGUAGGCGGCUUUCUAAGUCAGAGGUGAAAUCCCGGAGCUCAACUCCGGAACUGCCUUUGAUACUGGAAAGCUUGAGUCCGGGAGAGGUGAGUGGAACUGCGAGUGUAGAGGUGAAAUUCGUAGAUAUUCGCAAGAACACCAGUGGCGAAGGCGGCUCACUGGCCCGGUACUGACGCUGAGGUGCGAAAGCGUGGGGAGCAAACAGG
rnacentral:rRNA from 1 species